ensembl:lncRNA
GAAUGAUAUUUUUAAUGGGAUUAUGGACCACAUGACAGCUCAAUUUAGAAUCUUCUCUGAAGGCCUGGACCAGAAGCUGGAAUCUUUUGUAAUUUUUUUCCUUUGUUCUUCGGCUGACGCCUGUUUUCCCCAGGGAAAACGGAAGCUCCAGGGGGGCGAGAAUGCGUCUGUGUUGGCAAUUCUCUCCAAAGCCUGCGGCGGAGCACACUGCACACAGAUCACAGAUACGUCACGCGGAUGAGUGUGGUGAUGCUCGUGAAGCACUCAGCUCAGCACCUGGAAUGUUCUGUGUGAUGUCCGUGCAUUAUAAUCGCUGAUUUUUCUAGAAUUCGGGGUGAUGGAAGCCUGAGGUGCACUUCCCUGGUGGCUCAGAUGGUAAAGAAUCCACCUGCAGUGCAGGAGACCUGGGUUCAGUCCCUGGGUUGGGAAGAUCCCCUGGAGAAGGGAAAGGCUACCCUCUCCAGUAUUCUGGCCUGGAGGAUUCCAUGGACAGAAGAGCCUGAGGUGGAGAGAAGGAGAAGGGGGUGAAGACACUACCGUGCCUGAGGACAAACAGGAUCCAGCCCUGCCCUCCAGGAGCGUACAGUCUGAGGGAGGAGGCAACACUGAGAACAGAGGCCCGCAUGCGGUAAGAGCUGGGCAAUGGAAGAGCACAGAGAAGAGGAAGCCACCAGCUUGGGACAAGGGUAGUCAGAGAUGCUCUCCUGAGGAAUCUCUUCUAGCAAAACAGAAAUUUGGAGAAAGAAUAAAGAUAUCAGUUGAAGGCUUCCCUGGUGGCUCAGACGGUAAAGAACCCACCUGCCAAUUCAGGAGACAGAAGAGAUGCAGGUUCGAUCCCUGGGUCGGGAAGACCCCCUGGAGAAGGAAAUGGCAACCCACUCCAGUAUUCUUGCCUGGGAAAUGCCACGGACAGAGGAGCCUGGUGGGCUUCCAUCCACAGGGCCGCAAAGAGUCGGACACGACUGAGCAAAUAACACUUUCACUUUCACUGUUUAGAAUAGUCAAAAAUUGAAGCCAUUCACAUUUCAAAAGUGAGGGUUUAGUAGGAAUAUUAAUCAAAUGGACUUUUUCUAAGGAUAUAUAGACAGAAAACUGGUCAGAUUGGAGGGUCCGGUAAGAAAGACCCAAGUCUGUGUGUGCCGCACAUGGACGGCACAGCUGGGGCUUGACAAAGUCUACUCCCGCUGAAACAGGGGGCCAGCACAGCCCCAUCACUUUUCACGACAGGGGCACUAGCGAGACUUGCUUUGACCAAAGAAACAUGAAUGGAGGUGAGGACGGACCCUUCCAGGAGGGACAAAUAAGGCUCUGGGCUCAAUUCUCUGGUCCAAUCUUCCCUAUCACAGUGACACUUGGGGCUGCUGACCUCCUAAGGGGCCUGAGACCAUGUCCCCACCAUCAGUCUGAGUCCCUGGGGCCAGCGGCAAGCAAAGCCCUCCCCACUGAUCACAGGGAGCAGGUGAUGUGUGUGAGAAUAGCCUCAACUGUUUUGGAAAGUUUCUUGCUAUUGCAUCAUAUCCUAGCUCACCCUGACUGUCACACCAUUGUGAAACCAACUAUGAAAAUAUAUGCUUGUAUAGGGAUAGAAAAAGGAAAGAAGAAAGGUUAUUAGUAGUAGAAACUACUGUCUUGGGAGAGGAGCAAUUAGUGAUUGAUAACCUCUUUUAUAUUAAUGUUUGCACUUUCCAGACACAUCAGUGUUAAGUAGGCAUGCUCACAUUAAGGAGAAAGGUCAGUGUUAUUAACGAGAGUGCCGGGCCCUGGAGAGGCCGUCCUGUCCCAGGCUGUAUCUCCAGCUUCAGGCACACUGAGCGUCUGUCCCACUCAAUUAGCCCUUUAUUACUGAUUGUUUUGUUCUCUAAUUGUCCGUCCUGCAUAAUUUAGCACGGCCAUAUACUGUCUUUUCUCAAAUGUUUAAUUUAGUGUUUCUUGGCCUCAGUUUCUCAUCGCCAAGUGCAGUGGUGGCAGAGAAAUCUUUAGAGGCACCAGCCCUCUCUCAAGCCUGAAAUAAUAAAAGCUUCCUACAAAGCAGAUACUGUUUUGCUGCUGAGGAUAUGAAGCACAGGGAGGUGGAGGAAUUUGCCCAAAGUCAUACCCUCACGUGAUUUGAGCCCAGGAAUCUGCCUCCAAGAGACAUUCCCUCCCCACGGAAUCCUAGAUGGUCAGUGUUAUUGCGCCCAUUUUACAGAGGGGGAAACUGAUGAGGCUCAUGGAGGUUAAGCCACUUGUCCAAGUCACGCAGCAAAAGAGGCGGCAGAGGCUGAAGCUGAAGCCAGAUCUGUGGGCUCUGAGGCCUGUCUCUUCUCACCGCUCCAAUGAUGAGAAGCCCAAGCAAGGCCAAGGCCCUCCAGGUGCAGGAAGACGUGGCUACACUCAGUGCGCUUGCGGCCAAAGAAACAUCAGCCCUGACAUGAUAAUAGCAAUAGUAGUAGUAACAACAGCCCUCACCCAUGGAGUGUUUACGAUUGCUGAGCCUAUGACUGUACUAUCACAUAUCAUAUGUAUUACUUAUAAUAUCCCUUAAGCCAGAUCUCUUCCCUGGUGGCUCAAAUGGUAAAGAAUCCACCUACAGUGCAGGAGACACAGGGUUCAAUCCCUGAGUUGGGAAGAUCCUCUAGAGAAGGAAAUGGCAAGCUACGCCAGUAUUCUUGCCUGGGAAUCCCCAUGGACAGACGAGCCUGGUGGGCUCCAGUCCAUGGGUCAUGAAGAGUCAGACACGACUGAGCAACUAACACAAGGCGUAUCUCACAUGUGAUGACACUGAGCUCAGAGAGAUUAAGCAAGUUUCUCCAGGUCUCCCAACCAAGAAGUAAUAGAACCCAGACUUGAAGCCAGGUUUGGCCGAAGCCUGUGGUCAGGACCAGCCACAAGGACCGAGCCUCCCCCAUCGGGGUUUGAAAUAAGAUGCAGCAACACUUCCCGGAAGAAGCUCCAGAGACCAAAUGUGGGAUGCUGUUCCAAGAGCAGAAAGGGAGAGGGAGCUAGAGGCACAGAGCAGGGAAGAGACGAGCCUGGAACCCAAAACGCCAAAGUACCCAGGGCCUGGGUGGGCUCCCUACCAGGACCACGGUGCCUCGGGCCCCACUGCUCAAGAGGGGCAAGGGCACCCUGUGGCUGUGGCCGAGCCGUCCACCGGGUGGAGUCUGUCCAACACAGCCCAGGUGGCCCGCUGCCGCCUCGGCUCUGGGGGAGUGACUGCGGAUCCUAAAUCUGUCGGGAGUUUCUAGCCUAACACAGUUGUUGUAAUUGUCAUGGUCAUGCCUGAUAACAUUUUGUGAUAGCCAUAAACUCAGAAAGUCUGAGUGACCCCAGAGAAGGGAGAGGCCUGGGAUGGUUUGGAUGGGAUUUAAAAGGGGAAAAGGGGUAACUUGAAGCCUCCGGGAGACUCCUGUCGGGGGACUGGCUGCCUGUCCUGCUUGUGGGCCAUUUCAUAGUCCCAGAGGCUACAGUCAUUGAUUGUUACAUCAGACUAUAUAUUGAAGUGAAAUUAUCAGUUAAAGUCGUUGGACAUAAAUAAAUGCGCAACAUUGGGAUACCAAGGGGCUGGGCCUGGAUUUAAGCCUUGGCUCUGCCACUGAUUUCGGGGGCCAGCAGCCAGUUUUCAACCUCUUACCAGAGUCUGGGAGUUGAGGCUUCGUUCAUUCUCUCAGCCCCCUUGCAGAGAGAAGCUGCUCCUUGUCCCUCUUUAAUGCAGCUAGUCUUCCUGGGUGGCCCUCACACUGCCCCAGCCACAGUGUGUCACAGGUCCUCCAAGUCAGCGGGCCCUCCUCCCCCAGGGCCCUCACAGUACCGCUUCCUCUGCCCAGGGGUCCCCCACGGACCAGGCCAUCUCUCUGGGACCCAGGAGGACUAGGAAGGCUGCAAACAAUUGGGACGGGCACAGGUCUGAGCGGGGCGCCAGCAGGGGGGACAGCCAAGCCCCCACCACCCACAGAGCUGGGCGGCAGUCUUAUUUCACACCGGGUGUCCAAGCUUGCAUCACGGUGCUGGCCAGGAGCCUGGUGUGCAGUCAUUAACUGUGAUGUGCUGUAGGUGUGUCAUUGUCAGAGUGGUUUUGCACAUUUGAUCCAUCUAUAAAUAUGGCUGGUAAUUAUCCAUCAUCAGCACAUGCUUAUGUUCUGCAUAAGUGUACAUUGUUUUCCCGAGAAUUUAAGUUGCCAACUCCCAACCAAGACACAGGGACUCGAGGCUCACAGUCAUGUGUCCCGUGGACACGGAACAUGGGAGGGGUUACCUGGGCACCUGCCUGUGGUCCCACCCAGGGCCCUGAAGGGGGUCAGAGCUGGAGCUCCGUCUACUGUCACUUACCUGGGCUUACCCCUGGGCCUCAGUUUCCUUGGCUGUAAAAUGGGGAUGAAAGCAACUCCCUCCUCAUGGAGUGGCUGUGAGGAUGGAGCGAGCACACGCAAGUGAAGGGCGCCCAGCACACACAGGAAGUGCUCACCGCGUGAACUGAUGCUCCUGCUGCUGUCACCCCCGGACGGAGACAGAGGAGACGCACGGCCUGUUCCACAGCCGGGACCACUUGCUGCGAUGACUCCCAGCUGCUGACAUGGAGUCAGGCGCUUGGGUCAGGCAUCUACACGCAUGACCCCCACGUACCCCUCACAAGAGCCCUACUGCAGGUGCUAUCCCAGCC